GACUGCAGCCAUGCCACCCUGAACGCUCCCGAUCUCAUCUUAUCUCGUGAAGCUAAGCAGGGUCGGGCCGGUUAAUACUUGGAUGAGAGACCACCUAGGAAUACCGAGUACUAUAGGCA
rnacentral:rRNA from 1 species